rnacentral:hammerhead_ribozyme from 1 species
AUCCAGACGACGAGUCCCAAAUACGACGAAACGCGCGUCCUGGAU